rnacentral:rRNA from 1 species
AUUGAACGCUGGCGGCAGGCCUAACACAUGCAAGUCGAGCGAGCGGCGGCAGGGUGAGUAAUGUCUGGGAACCUGCCUGAUGGAGGGGAAUCACUCCUGGAAACGGUCGCUAAUACCGCAUACCAUCAGACGUGCACAGAUGGGAUUAGAUAGUAGGUGGGGUAACGGCCCACCUAGGCGACGAUCCCUAGCUGGGCUGUGUGGAUGACCAGCGAAACUGGAACUGAGCCACGUGCCAGAUGCCUACGGGAGGCAGCAGUGGAGAAUGUUGCACAAGGGGCGCAAGCCUGAUGCAGCCAUGCCGCGUAUGUGAAGAAGGGCUUCGGGUUGUAAAGCACUUUAAGCGGGGAGGCGUGGCCCGCAGAAGAAGCACCGGCUAACUCCGGGCCAGCAGCCGCGGUAAUUC